UGUGGUGAAACGUGAGUAGUCGAUACUUCAUUCUUGGUUUUUGGUUUUAGUUUCAAAAAAGCAGUUUCACUUCUCUGUAGCUUCUCGUUUCGUGUUAAAGGUUAACAUGUCUGGAAAUUGCAAUUUUAAAACGACGGAUAAUGAAAAAGAUCUGUCGAAGCAAACUGGGAGGCCUCAUGAUGAAAAAGCACGCUGUCCAGAAAGGAAUAAGACCAGAAGUACCACCUGUGAUAUUUGCAAUCGAAAAUUUCGAGAACCAAGAUUUAUGGAACAGCACAGGAGAGAUAAACACUCUAAUAAGUAUUACAGGGCACAGUCAGCGGAAAAUCAAACAGAGGCAUCCGCGCCGUUUAGAUUUUGCGAGUCAUGCAACAAGGAAUUUUCGAGCAAGGAGGAUUAUCAACGACAUAUGAUUACUGAUUGUCACAAAAUGAACUUCGUUGGAUCAAUAUUUUUUAAGGAAAUCAAGAAAGGCAAGGAAAUUAACAUCGCGAAUUUGAAAAGAGAAUGUUCCAAAGUCAAUAAUGAAAUAAUGCAGAAGAUUGCAGAGGACGACAAUAAGCAAUUUGAGGCCAUUUUGAAUGAUUACUAUGAGGUUUUACGUCUCUCUCGUAGAAAACCGAUAGGUCCGAACGAAAACUUUAUAUGCAGCAAAUGCGGUAUUAUAUUUAUGGGAUUAGAAAUCUUCGAGAAACAUUUAAAAAAACAUGGAAGGAAAGGAACUUUAAAUUAGGCUUGACGAAAGCAGUUUCUCUGAACACUAAAAUAAUUAACCGCUUCAUUGAAAAAACAAUGACAUGGCUUUUGGCAGUUUUAUAGUUUGGAAUUUUUUUCAAAAAUAUUUAUAUAAAACAACUGCUGUAAGAAACUUUCAUAGUAACUGCAUAUUAUUCAUAAUGUUCCCAAAUGACUCUCAAAGCACUCAGUGUUGUCAUUAAAGGAAUGUUUUCAAUAAAAUUCUGGUUUGGCAAAAGUGGAUACUUGGUAUAGAACACUCGUCAUUUUGAACUGAGUUGGCCAAUUCAAGUUAGAAAUAGGUAUCGUUUUUCUGUUGAGAAAGUUUAAUUUAGUAGGGUCUGGUGGGGUAAAGUGGUCAUAAAAUCGUAGAUUUUAAACUUAGGUGGAUAAUAAUUGCAAUAAAUUCU